rnacentral:rRNA from 1 species
GAUGAACGCUGACAGAAUGCUUAACACAUGCAAGUCAACUUGAACUUCGGUUUGGGUGGCGGACGGGUGAGUAACGCGUAAAGAACUUGCCUCAUAGAUAGGGACAACAUUUGGAAACGAAUGCUAAUACCUGAUAUUAUGAUUAUAUGGCAUCGUAUAAUUAUGAAAGCUAUAUGCGCUGUGAGAGAGCUUUGCGUCCCAUUAGCUAGUUGGAGAGGUAACGGCUCACCAAGGCGAUGAUGGGUAGCCGGCCUGAGAGGGUGAUCGGCCACAAGGGGACUGAGACACGGCCCUUACUCCUACGGGAGGCAGCAGUGGGGAAUAUUGGACAAUGGACCAAGAGUCUGAUCCAGCAAUUCUGUGUGCACGAUGAAGUUUUUCGGAAUGUAAAGCGCUUUCAGUUGGGAAGAAAAAAAUGACGGUACCAACAGAAGAAGUGACGGCUAAAUACGUG